ACGGAGAGCCAAGGCCAAAUGUCAUUUGGACAAAAGAUGGCAUCAGAAUGGCAGCAAGGGAAAUAAGUAUUGAGAAAUUAGGGGACAUCUACUACCUUGUAAAAAGAAACGCCGUUGUUGCCGAUACUGGAAAAUAUAUCUGUCUUGCCACUAAUGAAUUAGGGGAGGCACACUGCUCAGCUUUUAUCAGAGUAAUAGAGAAAAAUAAAAGUGACAUAUCCUCAAUGCAAGACUAAAUCAAAUCAAGAGAAAGGCCAUUUGCUGAAGAAAACAAUGAGGACUGCCACACCCUCACCAGUACGAGGUCAAGAUUGACAUUGCUUGAGAGGUCAAAUCAAACAAAAAAAAAACAUUCCAAAAGGUAACUU